rnacentral:rRNA from 1 species
UUUUUAUGGAGAGUUUGAUCCUGGCUCAGGAUGAACGCUGGCGGCGUGCCUAAUACAUGCAAGUCGAGC